UACGUAGGGCGCAAGCGUUGUCCGGAAUUAUUGGGCGUAAAGAGCUCGUAGGCGGUCUGUCGCGUCUGUUGUGAAAACUCGAGGCUCAACCUCGGGCUUGCAGUGGAUACGGGCAGACUAGAGUGCGGUAGGGGAGACUGGAAUUCCUGGUGUAGCGGUGGAAUGCGCAGAUAUCAGGAGGAACACCAAUAGCGAAGGCAGCUCGCUGGGACGGUACUGACGCUAAGGCGCGAAAGCGUGGGGAGCGAACAGG
rnacentral:rRNA from 1 species